AGAGUUUGAUCCUGGCUCAGAGCGAACGCUGGCGGCGUACUUAACACAUGCAAGUCGUACGAGGAUCGUCAGUGUAGCAAUACAUCGGCGGUUCGAGUGGCGCACGGGUGAGUAACACGUGGGUAACCCACCCUUGAGACCGGGAUACCCUCUCGAAAGGGAGGCUAAUACUGGAUACGUUCCCUGGGACGCAAGAUCUGGGGAGGAAAGGUGGCGAAAGCUGCCGCUCUUGGAGGGGCUCGCGGCCUAUCAGCUAGUUGGUGAGGUAACGGCUCACCAAGGCUAUGACGGGUAGCUGGUCUGAGAGGACGACCAGCCACACGGGAACUGAGACACGGUCCCGACUCCUACGGGAGGCAGCAGUGGGGAAUUUUCCGCAAUGGGCGAAAGCCUGACGGAGUGACGCCGCGUGGGGGACGAAGGCCUUCGGGUCGUAAACCCCUGUCAGAGGGAAAGAAGGGUGUCGGCGUGAAUAGCGCCGGCAUCUGACGGUACCUUCAGAGGAAGCCCCGGCCAACUCUGUGCCAGCAGCCGCGGUAAGACAGAGGGGGCAAGCGUUGCUCGGAAUCACUGGGCGUAAAGGGCGCGUAGGCGGGAUGGCAAGUCGGUCGUGAAAUCCUUCGGCUCAACCGAAGAACGUCGGCCGAUACUGCCGUUCUUGAGGGAUGCAGAGGAGAUUGGAAUUCCCGGUGUAGCGGUGAAAUGUGUAGAGAUCGGGAGGAACACCGGUGGCGAAGGCGGGUCUCUGGGCAUCUCCUGACGCUGAGGCGCGAAAGCGUGGGGAGCAAACGGGAUUAGAUACCCCCGUAGUCC
rnacentral:rRNA from 1 species